AACGAACGCUGGCGGCAGGCCUAACACAUGCAAGUCGAGCGAGGACUUCGGUCCUAGCGGCGGACGGGUGAGUAACGCGUGGGAACGUGCCCUUUGCUUCGGAAUAGCCCUGGGAAACUGGGAGUAAUACCGGAUGAGCCCUUUGGGGGAAAGAUUUAUCGGCGAAGGAUCGGCCCGCGUUGGAUUAGGUUGUUGGUGGGGUAAUGGCCUACCAAGCCGACGAUCCAUAGCUGGUUUGAGAGGAUGAUCAGCCACACUGGGACUGAGACACGGCCCAGACUCCUACGGGAGGCAGCAGUGGGGAAUCUUAGAAAAUGGGGGAAAACCUGAUCUAGCCAUGCCGCGUGAGCGAUGAAGGCCUUAGGGUUGUAAAGCUCUUUCAGCUGGGAAGAUAAUGACGGUACCAGCAGAAGAAGCCCCGGCUAACUCCGUG
rnacentral:rRNA from 1 species